rnacentral:rRNA from 1 species
AGUGAACGCUGGCGGUAGGCCUAACACAUGCAAGUCGAACGGCAGCACAGUAAGAGCUUGCUCUUACGGGUGGCGAGUGGCGGACGGGUGAGGAAUACAUCGGAAUCUACUUUUUCGUGGGGGAUAACGUAGGGAAACUUACGCUAAUACCGCAUACGACCUACGGGUGAAAGCAGGGGAUCUUCGGACCUUGCGCGAUUGAAUGAGCCGAUGUCGGAUUAGCUAGUUGGCGGGGUAAAGGCCCACCAAGGCGACGAUCCGUAGCUGGUCUGAGAGGAUGAUCAGCCACACUUGAACUGAGACACGGUCCAGACGCCUACGGGAGGCAGCAGUGGGGAAUAUUGGACAAUGGGCGCAAGCCUGAUCCAGCCAUACCGCGUGGUGAAGAAGGCCUUCGGGUUGUAAAGCCCUUUUGUUGGGAAAGAAAAGCAGCAGGUUAAUACCCCGCUGUUCUGACGUUACCCAAAGAAUAAGCACCGGCUAACUUCGUG